CGAAUUUCUCUGAGAUCAGCCACUAGGCAUUACAGUUCUGGUGGGGCAGGGGAACGCAGAGGUUCAGAUGGGGAGAAGGACAUACCCACGGGUGAAGCGCAAAGCGUUGCUGUCUCUGAAAAACUUUUUUUUUUUUCCAGAAGGUAUUUUCAUCUUUCCUGUAAUCUCAUUUUAGAGGCAACUCCUGGUGGGUCUAGCCUUCAUUUUAAACUUGAAAGAUGCUGCGUUGAUCAGUGGUUCCUGACUGAAUCUGAAAGUCAGCUCUCUCACGAGCUGCUUUGUCUCACUUUUUUAACUUUGAUCUUCAAACAUCAAAAAGUUAAUAUCGUUAAUUCAAAGGAGGUGUUCAAGCACCCUCGGCCAGAACACCUUCCUGGGGAUGGGAAAUCUCCAUCCUCAGGGCAGUUUCCACGCAGGGUGGUGUAUCCCUGGAGUGACAGGGAGCGGGUGAAGGAGGGAAGUUUCAGCGAGGGCUCCCCUCACGCUCCAGCCGCCGGGUCAGGCUGCGGAGCCCCGCGGUCGGGUGGAGCCUGGGGCGGCCCCGCGCUUCCGGGCCGCCGCCGGCGACCUCGGCGGUCGGGCAGCGCCUUGCGCCCCGAGGGAAAGCGACGGAGCCAGCCAGCUAGCCAGCCAGCCAGCCAGGGAGGGAGCGGAGGCGGCCACGGCGCCAUGCGGCCCGCAGAACAUAUGAAGGAUAUUCUUGUGAUAUACGAACAAGAAGCAGAAGAGUGGGCUGUGUAUUUAAAAUCUCUGUUUGGACACAUACUGAAUGAAGAAGGAGUCUUACUCUACAAUCUGGAGACUUUGUCUUUCAAGCACCUGGAGUCAUUCUCUUUACCCUGCUAUAAAUGUAAACUGCUGAUACUCUCGUGUGGACUUCUUAAAUGCCUAAAUCAAGAGAGAUGCUGCUUUCUGGAGUAUGUUCUUCAGCCUCCAGAUAAUGUGGUGAUUCUCCUUUGUGGGGUGGAGAAUUCAGAGAUUCUUUAUGAGGUACUGACCUUAGGUGGAAGGAGCAGAGAGAUCUCCGCUGAUCAGGAACCUGAAGAAUAUCUCUCAAUUGUUACUGGAAUUAUUCAACCAGGUAAGCCACAGAAUGAAACUCCUGGAGCCUCUUUUUCUUACAUAUAUGAAGCCGUUCUUGCAGAUGAUGACCAGACCAACUAUGAUUUUAACUUACCAGAUACCAGGGGAGCUCCAGAAAAAACAGAUCUCAGUUUUGAACCAGAAGUACUGUCUGAAACAUUAGAAGCUAAUGAGCAGUCGGUAUUGGUGCUUCCAGAAAGAAUAUCAUGUGAGAACCCUGGUGAAAUAUUCAUUUUGUUGAAAGAUGAAAUAGAUGAUGAAACUUUUGAAAUUGAAUUCAUAGCAGAUAAUCAACGAAUUAGGACACAGCCAGCCUCUUGGAAUAAGAAGGUCAAGUAUAUGAAAGCCUUAGAUUUUCCUGCUGGCCCUGUAUAUAUAAAUGUCUACUGUGGGGGAGUCAUUAAGACCACAGCACAGAUCGAGUAUUAUACUGCACUAGAAGAGAUUGAGCGCGUGUUUCAGAAAGUGGCUGACCCAAUAGCUUUUGCUUGUCAGGCUUUUAGAUUUUCUUCUGUGGAGAAGCUGGACAGUGUUCUGACUCUGUUAUUGGAAAGCAAAAUAAUUACGUCUGAAUUCAACAUAUCCCAGAGCGAAGAGCAGCACCAUCAACAAGCUAAUAGCCAUUUGGAAGAAUUUCCCACUCUCCUUCACUGUGCAGCCAGAUUUGGAUUAAAGAACCUUGCAGCUCUUCUACUCAAGUGUCCAGAGGCCACAUGGGCUUGUAGGAUAGCCAACACACACGGAGAUGAUCCAGCAAGUCUUGCUGAGAAGCAUGGACACAAGGAACUAAGAAAAUUAAUCAAAGAAUUGUCAAAUGAAAUGACAUAUAAUUUCACCGAUCAUGAGGAGGAAGCAGAAGAUGAUGACACUUACGUGGUUAUGGUAGGCUUGGAAACUCAACCAGCCAUGACAUUAAAAGCCAAGCUGAACCUGGGAGAUCAAUAUGGAAUUGGAUCAAAAUGCCAACAAAUAGCUGAGGUGGAUGAGGAAGAGGAAGAUGAUGUAGAAGACAUCAGAGAGGAAACCAAAGAUGAAGAUCAAGAAGGGGAAGAUACCUACACCCUUGUCAACAAUCCUAACAAUUUAUAUGCCAGCAUACCUGAUGAUUCAGAAAAGACCAGAAGAGACUUAUUUUUCUACAAGAGGCCACCUGCUCCUCCCCCUCGAAAUCUGCCUGGCACCGUAAGGCAGGAUGAGCUGCACAAUUUAUCACAAGAAAGGAAUUUUGUGGAGGACAGAAGUGACAGAGAAUAUGGUGAUGGACUCCUAACAGCAUGCUACAGAGAAGACCAAGAUACAUAUGAGGAAGAUGACAAGGAGGAGCACCCAUACACUUUUGCGAAAUUGGAUGAAUCUCUGUACGAUUUGAUACUGGCUGAGAAGGAGGAGGAGAAGAGGAAAGAACGCAGGUCGUUUAUCAUGAACAGGCCUCCAGCCCCUGCCCCUCGUCCUGUAUGUUCGCCCGUCAGAAAUGAGAACACUCCCUACAUAGUACAAGUGUUUCAGCAAAAGGCCACUCAGAUGCCCAGUGACUACAACAAGAUGUACUGCAAUGUCAGGAGGCACGCAGCACACAGACGCCCCAGCGAGACAGUAGCUUAUAGCACUGUGAAACACAACAUCCCUGCUGAACAGGAAGAACUUAUCCAUUUGCAGAAACAAGUGAAAAAGGGGGCAAUUUCUGUGGAUGAAGCCCUUGACAAAUUUAAACGGUGGCAGAAUGAAAACCAGAGACUACAGUCUACUCUACAGGGACGUGUGCUGUAUUCACAUUUGAAGGAAAACACAUAACAGGCGACUCACCCUAGCGUCCGACAAGGACCCCAACAGACAAGGAACAGAUGCCUAAUUAACAGAGUGCAAAUCUCCAGCUUUCCUCUGUUUGACAAUCCCCACGUCUCCAAGUGGUGUGCACCCCAGAGAAACUCAGCCUCCAGCAAGUACCGCUGCGCCCAUCACACCUCCAGUGUCUUGGAAUCACGCACCUGGGCCAACUCUGGAAGAAAUCCAGUAUCACAAGAGCAAAUUAGUAAGACUCCUUGUAAAGUCACCCCUAAUUCAACACCCUUUCUUUGCUGAUUUUUCUCUCCAGAUUGACAGCUGAAGAUAUAUAUGAAGAUAUAUUGUGUGCUUUGGUUAAUUGUUUAUAAACUCAUUUCAGUUUUUCAAUAAUGUUCAAGAGUUGUUUAAAAGGAGAUUUUUAUGCACAAAAGAGAAAGAAUAUGAAAAGUUACAAAGAUUAUGAAGUUAUAAUACACAAAAUUUAGUUUUUGCUUUUCAUUAAUACAUUUCUGUAUAAACUUUGUAUAUAAAUUUGUCUUUCAUAAUACUAAUAAUUGUACUCCAUCGUAAGCUUAAAGAAUUAUGUUCAAAGUGAAGCUAAUUUCUAAAGUCAAACUGUAUAAAUUAAAAAUGUAAAUCAGUACUAAUUAUAUACUACCGCAUUAAAGUGAUUACAAAAAGUGUGUUUAAAGGAAACUGUGCUUUGUUUAAUAAGUUGCCUAAGAUAAAUGAUACCCAGAACAGAAAAAAAAAAACUCUCUAUUGCAUUUACACAUUAUAAAUAAAGGAAUAAACUACAAUUAAUGGGUAUAAUAGCCUGCGUUCACACAGUGCGAUAUUCCAACAUUUAAGUGAACAUGUGAUGAUACAAGGAGGAUGCAAGAAGGCUUGCUUAUACACAAAAAAGGAGAAAAAGAUCACAUAUGCAACUUGCAGAAGGUAAAAGAAUACUUUAAAUUUCAGAUAAGCAGUAGCUUAAAGAGACAUCUCCCCCCCUUCGUUAUCUGCGCUUUGUGAAAACAGUCUUAAAAUACAGGUAAGCAUAGUGUUGUCCAAAGAAGCCCCACAGAGAUCAGUCUUUGCUAGUCCAUUAGUAGUACGUUAUUCACUGACAUCUUUAGGAACCUGAGCUGGUCAUAGCGAGCCUCCCCUCAGGCUCUCAGUACUCUGAAUCUCUGCUUCACAUGUACUAAGAGAUGCUUGCACUUACAUUUCAGUUAGGAAAAACUGAAAACUCCUUUAUAAUCAGAAACCUUGAAAAUAUGCACAAAUCUUGCUCCUGAACUACAUGUUAAUU